AUUGAACGCUGGCGGCAGGCCUAACACAUGCAAGUCGAGCGGAUGAAGGGAGCUUGCUCCUGGAUUCAGCGGAGGACGGGUGAGUAAUGCCUAGGAAUCUGCCUGGUAGUGGGGGAUAACGUCCGGAAACGGGCGCUAAUACCGCAUACGUCCUGAGGGAGAAAGUGGGGGAUCUUCGGACCUCACGCUAUCAGAUGAGCCUAGGUCGGAUUAGCUAGUUGGUGGGGUAAAGGCCUACCAAGGCGACGAUCCGUAACUGGUCCGAGAGGAUGAUCAGUCACACUGGAACUGAAACACGUUCCAGACUCCUACGGGAGGCAGCAGUGGGGAAUAUUGGACAAUGGGCGAAAGCCUGAUCCAGCCAUGCCGCGUGUGUGAAGAAGGUCUUCGGAUUGUAAAGCACUUUAAGUUGGGAGGAAGGGCAGUAAGUUAAUACCUUGCUAUUUUGACGUUACCAACAGAAUAAGCACCGGCUAACUUCGUG
rnacentral:rRNA from 1 species